GGUAGCGUCAUGUCUGACCUACAAUCAUACUCUAAACAUGCUAAAGAAGAUUUCGUACAAGGAAACCUUGAAAUGUUUUAUGAGCUCCUUUUAUGACCGUUUGAUUUCUAAGAAAGGGAAUUAACUGAGAUGUACAGUGUGUGAAAACUUUUUUCUUGGAACUAGCCACAUUGGUGAGCAGUUUUUCAUUUCAACUCACCAAAUUAAAAUCCCACUUGCCAGCUUGGUGCUGAAACAUGGAAGACAGCUUUACCAUUCCUAGUCACGUAGAUGACCUGACAAAAUGUAUGUAUGAACUACAGCAGGAAGGGACAUUCUGUGAUGCAGGCCUCGAGUGCAAAGAUGGGGUCAUAUUUGUUCAUAAACUUGUUCUAAUGGCAUGUAAAAGUCCAUAUUUAAGGAAUCAAUUGGCGUCUGAAAAUCAAGGUACAAGAGUUUAUGUCAGUCUUAAGAAUUAUUCAUUAAAAACAGUAUGCUGUUUGGUGCAGACCCUUUAUACAGGACAGUUAAAUAUUUCCCAGGAGAAUAAAGUAAAUUUUAGACUUUUGUGUCAGACAAUAGGGCUUAACAAAAUAAAAUCUGCUGCUGAAAAUUUUAUUCAGCAAGAUCAAAAUAUUUAUGAGGUCCAAAACAUAAACCCAUUUUGUGCUGUUCAAGUUGCAGAGGAAAUAAUAGAAUCACCGGAUAAGAUUACAGCACUGGUGGCAUCUGUCAAUCAUGGACCAGAUGACAACUUUGUUGACAGUACAAACACUGUUGAUAAUGUAGAGGAUCUCAACUAUGACAACAGUGAUGUAAAAGUUGGUGGUGAUAUGGUUAAAAGGAGUCAAGAUUUGGAAGGAGAAAGGGAUGCCGACAAAUCUUUGGAUCUGCCCAAAGUAAGAAAAACCAGAAGCAACAAGAGAAGAAAAAUGUUCCACAAUGAAAUCACACAAGCAAAAGACAAUGCCACCUCAUCUAAUGUCUCUGAAAUAUUGGCCAUUGCAAAACAAUUAUCUGAAAUAGAUAAAGCCCAGCCAUCUAAACCUGCUUCUUCUUGUCUAGAUCAAACUAAAUCCAGUUUAUGUUCUCUAUGUACAAAAAAAAUUGUCAGUGAAGAGGAAAAUGUUACAGAUCCAAGCAAGACAGUUUGUACAGAAUGUAUGGUUUUAUUUAGUGGAGAAACCAAUGAUGACCAAGAGGUGGGAACUGAACCAGACCAAACACAAAGUUACAACAGUGAAGAUUGUGGAGAAGACGGCAAAAAGGAUAGUGUUGAUUUGGAAGAGGAAUGCUUAAAGAAGACUUGUGAAGAAGGAUCACCACUUCCAGACCUCAUUUCCUUAGAUGAAGGUGACGGAGGUCCUUUACCAUGGUUACAAGAACAGAUAGACAACGGUGAACGUGAAAACAAUAAAAUAUCUGACAGAAAGCUUAGAAAUAAGAGCCAAUCAGAUAAAGGAAAGAUAGAAACAGGUGAGACCAAUCAAGAAAAGUUGUGGCAUUGUAAAAAAUGUGAAUUUUCAACAGGUGAUAAGAAGGAACAAGAGAGACACAGAAAGCAUCACUCUUACCUCAAAAGAAAGCUCAGGAUGUCUAAACUAUGUAAAUCUCAAAAAUAUGUCUGUGAUGAAUGUGGAAAUGAAUAUAAAUCAGAAGUCGGUUUGCAAAGCCAUAAAAAAUUCAUGCAUCCGGACAAGCCAUUAUUGUUAUGUAUGCUUAGAGGGUGUAAAGCACGUUUUGUGGAAGAAUCUGCCUUACAAAAACAUUUGUUAUGGCACAAAUCACAUGGUGUCCUGAAAUGUAGAAAAUGUGGACAGGUAUUUGUACUUAAGGGUGCACUGAAAAGACACGAGGGUUAUUGUUUCAAAAGAUUAAUGUUUCGAUGUGACAUUUGUAAUAAAGUGUAUAAAGCCCAAAAAAAUCUUUCAGAACAUAUGAGUAAAAUGCAUUGUGAGGGGGGUAAAGGAUUAAAUGACUGGGAAUCUUCAAAGUUUACCAGAAAUAUCAACAGUAUGACUUCUGCAGUUGAUCAGAAUAAAGGAGCAAGUUUAACAGUCGAGAAAACAAGUUUAGAAACUACAAUGCAAGAGUUUAAUGCUGAGGAAUUUGUAGAAGGGAUGAAUUCAAUUUUACUCGGUCACCAAAAUGAAAAAAAAUCAAUACAGACACAAGACGUUUACUGUUGUAUACAUUGUGAAUUCUCAACAGAAGAUAAGACACAGUAUACUAAGCAUAGAAAACACCAUGCUUACCUUAUUCGCAAGCAAAAGAUUACAGAACUCCAAUCAUAUACUUGUGAUAAGUGUGAAACAGAGCAUAAAACUACACUUGACUUGAAAGUUCAUAUGGAAAAGGUACAUUCUAUGGUAUAUGAAUGCCUAGAGAAAGGUUGUUUUAAAUAUUUUUCGGAUCAACAUAAGUUAAAUGAACAUUUUUUAGAGCAUGAAACACAGAUACAUAUUUGUAGAUAUUGUGGGGCGUCCUUCAGGACCAUACAAGGACUGAGUAGACAUGAGCUCACUACUCAUUCGGGUCAAUUUUAUAAAUGCAAGGUUAAAUCCUGCACUAGGGUAUUUAAGUAUAAACAGCAAUUAGAAAAACACAUAUUAAAUCAUAAAAAUAGAGGUUUUUUGGAAUGCAAGAAAUGUAACAAGAAAUUUAUUAUUAAAAGUGUACUAAAACGUCAUGAAGACUCAUGCAUAAGGAAUAUGACAACAAAGGAACCAACGCAGUGUCACUUAUGCGGAAAACAGUUUGGGAGCAAAUCAGGAGUGUUAAAGCACAUGAGAAAACAUAAUGAUGGAAUGUUUGAUUGCUUUUGUGGAAAAACAUUUGACAGUGUUAAAAAUCUUAAUCAGCAUAAAAAAUGUCAUAAUGAUCCUAUGCUUAAACCAUUUUGUGAAAAAGAGAUGGCAGAGGAGAGUGAAGAUAGUACCGAUUCAGAUCCAGAUGGUAUGGAAGAUAGCACAUCUUAAAGUUCAAGUGCAAUGUAUAAUUCGAAAAGUACUAAAGAAAAGCAAACUGUAUUUGAAUAAUGGAAAUGAAAAGUUUGUUAUAGAAAAUGUUAAUAUCGCAGAUUGUCACAAUUUAACAUCGAUUGUGAUGGUGGAAUGGCAACAGAAAAUGAUGAAAAGAAAUGAGUAAGAUGUGAGAAAGGAAUAUGACAUGGCGUUUGGUGAUAAAGGUGAUGAGUUGAUAUUGAAGAAUAAACAAAAUGAUGGUGACAUGCUUAACAUUGGCAUUGAAUGAAUUUAUCUCUGAUGUUGUAAAAUGAAGAUAUUAGUGACUAUAUGUAGUGACAUUGAUUAGUUUGACGAAUAUAUAGACACACAAAACAAACAAAGAAUAAAAAAAGUGUGAAUUUUAGUUAAAAUGUAUUAACAUUUUUUCUAGAGCAUGCGACUUAAAUAUGGCGCAGAAAGCUCAACAUAGGGAGAGUGAUCUGGCGGCGGCAGCCACGUCGGUGUUAACAAACCUCUUCAAAGCUUAAUAAUUUCCGAAGGUAGAAAACCUGGAUCUUUCAUAUAUGAAUAUAGAUGCCUUAUGUUAUAAAGUUUCCUUUGGUCAUAUGAUCAUUGUUCUUGAUCUCAUUUUCAUGGUUCAGUGACUACUUAUAAAAAAAGUAUUCUUUAUUUCUCUCUUAUUAUGAGUAAUAUAACUAUUUGGUAUGUGAGUACCUUGCAAAGUCCUCAUUCUCGUCAGACAGUUUUCACCUGACCUCGACAUCUAUAUAUCAGAUAGUAUAGGCGAUAGGUCUACUAUAUUUGAUGUAAGGGAUUAUUGUAGGUUGAACCUGGUAUCAUCUUCAUUUUCAUGGUUCAGUAGUUAAAGUUUAGUUUUUAUGUUUUGUUCUGUUUUUCUAAUACUGUAUGCAAUAGGUCAAAUAUAUUAAGUGUAUGAAAAUACACGAUGUACAUGUCAGUCUGGCAUGUUAUAUUUUAUCGUGACCUUAUGUUUACAGUUCUUAGUAUUUGGUCUGUUUUUCUAACACUAUAAGCAUUUUAGGACAUCUAUAUUUGGUGUAUAAAAUGACUGUAAGGUUUAUAUUGUUCGGCUAUUAACAUCUGACCAUGACCUCAUUUUUUAGCUCACCGGGGACGGAAGGGCCCCAUGUGAGCUUAUGCCAUCACUUGGCGUCCGUCGUUGUCCUUCGUCUGUCGUCGUCGUCUGUCGUCGUAAACUAUUUGAAAAAUCUUCUCCUCUGAAACUACUGGGCCAAAUACCUUCAAACUAAAUGUUCCUUAGGGUAUCUAGUUUAUAAAUUGUAUCCGAAGUUUUGAUCCAUCGACAAACAUGGCCGCCAUGGCUAAAAAUAGAACAUAAGGGUCAAAUGCAGUUUUUGGCUUAUAUCUCAAAAACUAAAUCUUUUAGAGCAAAUGUGACAUGUGGUAAAAUUGUUUAAUUGGUCAAGAUCUAUCGGCCCAGAAAUUAUCAGACGAAUCGAGCAACCCAUUGUUGGGUUGCUGCCACCGAAUUGGUAGUUUUAGCAAAAUUUUGCAGUUUUUUGUUAUUAUUUUGAAUAUUAUUAUAGAUAUAUAUAUAAACUGUAAGCAGCAAUAAUGUUCAGCAAAGUAAGAUCUACAAAAAAGUUAAUCUGACCAAAAUUGUCAAUUGACCCCUUAAGAAGUUAUUGCCCUUUAAAGACAAUUUUACACAAUUUGUUCAUCAAGUUUGCUAACAUUUAAAAAUCUUCUCCUCUGAAAUACAGGUGAGCGAUUCAGGCUCUUGAGAGCCUCUUGUUAUGGUUUAUUGGUCAAUCUUAAGUUUUCCUGGUUGACUUUGUUUCUAAUAAACUAACUGCAAUAGGUUUACUAUAUUUAAAACAUGUAAUGUUUGUUGGGUGUACAUGUCCGAGCGUUAAGGUUCUUCUGACCUUGGCCUCAUUUGUAUGGAUCAUUGAUCAAUGUUAAGGUUGAACUUUCCUGGUUGAGUUUGUUCUUAGAUGUGCAAUAGGUCGACUACAUUUAAAGCAUAUUUGAUGUAUCGAAUGAUUUUAAGGUGUACUUGUAUUUGUCAGUCAGAGCUCAGACAUAAAUAAGUCUAAAUCUGUUUUUGACUCAUGGAGGUCUAAAUUUGUAGAUUCAAAGAUUUGUCUCCCUUUAAUUUAAGACAAUUUACGCCUUCAAUAAUUCGAUAAGUGUUGAGCAAAAAAUAUUUGACCUAAAUUAAAAAGUUGCAAAUAUUGACUCCUACAAGUCGAUAAGUUAACAAAAUUGGUCAACUUCAAAACCCAAGGAUAUUUAUAUACAGGUCAUGCAUCUAUAUGAAAUUAUGACAAUAUUGAAAUACAAUGCUUUGUCUUUUAAAGAAAAUUAUGCAUGAGACCCUAAACAAACGGAAAUUAUGUUUAUUUACUUUACAAAGCAACCAUCUAUAGCCACACUAAAGGAGGAAAAUAAUCUUAUGUUAUGUAAAAAUGUUCAAUUAGAUAAUUAGAUAUAGAUAGCUCAUGUCCUUGUGAACGUUCAGACAGGUUUAUAAUGUCAUAUGUUGUGCACUUUGGGAAGCAAAUAAAAUCAAGUCUUUUCAUAAACACAAAUAGAGUUAAACGAGUCUGUCAUUUUUUGACUCCUAUGAGUCGAAAAAAACUAUCUUGUUUAUGUCUGAGCUUUGACUGUUUGUAGCUUGGUUUAUCUGACCUUGACCUCAUUUUUUGUGACCAAUAAAAGUUUAUAUGAUAGUUGAAGUAAAGCUUUAUAUAUAGGACUGUCAAUUUAAUAUCAAUGGUUCGUAAUGACAGCGAGACAUUUCAGUGUGUGCACUAUUGUAUUUUUAUACGACCACAAAAAAUUUUGCGGUUGUAUAUUGAUAACACGAUGUGUCUGCAUCGUCAGAAGACAUUUGGUUUCAGGUCAAUAACUUUAGUAAAUGUAAAUAGAAAUCUACAAAAUUCAAAUACAAGGUUUAUAACCACAAAAGGAAGGUUUGGAUUGAUUUUGGGGGUUAUGGUCCUAACAGUUUCGGAAUUAGGGUCAAAAAAGGGUUUCCUGGUUAAUGGACAAUUAAAAAAGAAGUACAAAUUAUAUGUUUGGAUUAUCUCUAUUAUACUGCUUUUAAAUUAUGUGUAAAGAAAUGUUGUAUUGUCUUGAGGUGAUUAGCUGUCAAUUUAUUUUUAGAAGUUAAUAUUU